UACGGAGGGUGCAAGCGUUAUCCGGAUUCACUGGGUUUAAAGGGUGCGUAGGCGGGCAGGUAAGUCCGUGGUGAAAUCUCUGAGCUUAACUCAGAAACUGCCAUGGAUACUAUUUGUCUUGAAUAUUGUGGAGGUGAGCGGAAUAUGUCAUGUAGCGGUGAAAUGCUUAGGUAUGACAUAGAACACCAAUUGCGAAGGCAGCUCACUACACAGUUAUUGACGCUGAGGCACGAAAGCGUGGGGAUCAAACAGG
rnacentral:rRNA from 1 species